GGGCACACGGGACAGUCGGUGGAGCUGAGGUCGGAACCAGAGCCAGUCGGGAUGACAUUGGAGGUGAGCGAGGGAUAUGAGGCAGAGACUGUGACGGGGUUAAUGGGGGAAUUAGGAGAGAGAGAUGAGAGAGCUGCUAGUGUGGUGCAUAAAGUACGGCAUUCGCCCUAAUGAGCGUGUUGUGGGAAUGAUGUCACCUGAGGCAGCUCUCCAUACUCGUCCUGAGGUGCGUGCUGGUUGUCUGGUAAAGACUGUGCCUGCGCCCAGAAACAGGCCUCCUGCAUGUCUUCCCAGCCCUGCACAUCCUGUGCCUACGCCCAGAACCAGGCCUCCUGCAUGUCUUUCCAUCCUGGUCAAGCCCGUGCCUCCUCCACGGACCAGUCCUCCAGUGGGUCUCCCUAUCUUGGUCAAGCCCGUGCUUCCUCCACGGACCAGUCCUCCAGUGGGUCUCCCUAUCCUGGUCAAGCCCGUGCCUCCUCCACGGACCAGUCCUCCAGUGGGUCUCCCUAUCUUGGUAAAGACCAUGCCUCCUCCACGGACCAGUCCUCCAGUGGGUCUCCCUAUCCUGGUCAAGCCCGUGUCUCCUCCACGGACCAGUCCUCCAGUGGGUCUCUCCACCCUGGUCCCUCCUGUGCCACCUCCUCAAACCAGGCCUCCAGCGGGUCUUCCCAGACUGGUGAGUCCAGGGCCUGCGCCCAGAGCCAGGCCUCCGUUACGUCUCCCCAGUCAAGAGUCACCAGAGCUGCCCGCCAGUCCGAAGUCGCCAGAGCUGCCCACCAGUCCGAAGUCGCCAGAGCUGCCCGCCAGUCAACAGUCACCAGAGCUGCCCGCCAGUCAGGAGCUGCCAGAGUGGCCAGACUGCCCGGAGCUGCCAGAGUGGCCAGACUGCCCGGAGCUGCCAGAGUGGCCAGACUGCCCGGAGCUGCCAGAGCGGCCAGACUGCCCGGAGCUGCCAGAGCUGCCAGACUGCCCAGAGCUGCCAGAGCGGCCAGACUGCCCAGAGCUGCCAGAGUGGCCAGACUGCCCGGAGCUGCCAGAGUGGCCCUCCUGUCCUCCGGCCCAGCCCGAGUGGUCCGUCUGCCAGGGUCAGCCCGAGUGGCCCGUCUGUCCUCCGGGCCCAGCCAGAGUUGUCCGUCUGCCAGGGUCAGCCCGAGUGGCCCGUCUGCCCGGCGCAGCUAUCGGCGCCACCGAAGUGGGCGAUGCCGAAGGUGGAGCGAGGUCCACGUCCUGCACCUGAGCCACCUCCAGGAUAAGUGGGUUGGGGAGGGCGGGUGUAGCACAGUGCCGUCGUUGACGGCAGCCACCCUCCCUUCCCUCCCUUUUUUUUGUU
rnacentral:lncRNA from 8 species